rnacentral:rRNA from 1 species
UACAGAGGUGACUAACGUUGUCCGGAAUUAUUGGGCGUAAAGGGUGCGUAGGUGGGCUGGUAAGUCAGUGGUGAAAUCUCCAGGCUUAACUUGGAAACUGCCAUUGAUACUAUCAGUCUUGAAUACCGUGGAGGUCAGCGGAAUAUGUCAUGUAGCGGUGAAAUGCUUAGAUAUGACAUAGAACACCAAUUGCGAAGGCAGCUGGCUACACGAAUAUUGACACUGAUGCACGAAAGCGUGGGGAUCAAACAGG